AUUCUCCUCUCCAAUGCGCUUGUGGCUUGUCAAUCUCUCAUAUCUCUCACUCUCAGUUCAAAUUGUUGAACUUAAAUCUCUGGGGCUGAAAUUCGAACCGUCUCACGCCAUCUCACUAUCUCAACUCCCACAUUCGCAAGAUAUCUCCAAUCAGGAACAAUGUCAUCAAUUAGAGAAAACAUUGACAUUGAGGAUACGCCUAAUAUGGGAGAGUCGGUAUCAAAUAGAAAUACGCAUGGGCAGGCUAAGCAAUCUGGAGUGUGGGAACAUCUUGAGAAGAUUUAUAAUGAGAAAACCAGAUAAAGUGUUUCUAUUGUCAGAAGUUGUUAGCGUACAGUGUGAGUAAUGGAACUUCCUCUAUGCACAAGCAUUUAUCAACUUGUAAGAAAUACCCCCACAAUGUUGAUAAAAGCCAGACAAUUCUCUCGUCUUUUAGAAGCACAAACAAAGAAGAUGACAAGGAAUGUAGUACGGUUACCACUUGGAGAUUUAGUCAAGAGGUCUCUAGGCAAUUACUUGCUGAGAUGAUAAUUGUUGAUGAAGAACCAUUUACAAAGGUGGAGCGGCUAGGUUUUAGGAAAUAUGGAAGUUCAUUACAACCUUUAUAGAAGCAUAUUUCCCCUCAUAUAGUGGCUAGGGAUUGUUUGAAGAUUUACAAUUGUCAAAAGAUUUCAUUGAAAAAAACAGUUGAGUUCUCUGAAGUCUAGGAUUGCUCUAAUGAUUAAUAUAUGGAAUUCCAUUCAGAACUGUAGCUAUUUAUGCCUCACUGCUCACUUUAUUGAUGAGAACUGGGAGUUACAUAUGAGGAUUCUGGGUUUUAAAACCAUUAGUAGUCACACGGGUAGGGAGAUAGGGAAAAUGGUAGAGAAAUGCAUUGAAUGGGGUAUUGAAGAUCAUGUGUCCACUUUAACGGUGGAUAAUGCUAGUGCUAAUGAUGUGGCAAUCAAUUACUUGAAGGAUAGAUUGGUGGAUAGGAAUGCCUUAACUAUGGAUGGUUAGUAUUUUCAUAUGAGAUGCACUGCUCAUAUUAAGAAUUUGAUUGUGAGGGAUGGUUGUAGUGAGGUAAAGGGUAGUAUUCGUUGUAUCCGUAGUUCAGUUAAGUAUGUGAGGAGUUCUCCUGGUAAAGCCCUAGCAUUUGAAAGAUUUGUGAAAGAGGAAAUAAUAACUUAUAAAGGUGGUGUGUGUCUAGAUGUGGCCACUAGAUGCAAUUUCACUUAUCUCAUGCUAGAUACUGCAAUAAAAUUCAGGAAAGCUUUUCAAAGGUUGGAAGAUGAGGACCCCAACUUUGCUAUUGAUUUGUCACAUGAAACUCCUUCAGCUGAUGAUUGGGAAAAAGCAAUUGUGUUUGCCAAAUUCUUGGAAACGUUUUACGAAGCUAUUAAAAGGAUGUCAAGGACGAAAUAUGUGACUUCUAACAAUUAUUUUUGAUGAGAUAGUUUCCAUUGUCUUUACUUUGAAUGAUUGAGAGAACGACCCUAAUCCUUGUCUUCACAGCAUGUCUAAGAAAAUGAGAGAGAAGUUUGACAAGUAUUAUGGGAGUCUUGACAAAGCCAAUGUGAUAGUGUUGAUUGCAACGAUAUUAGAUCCUCAGUAUAAGAUGAUAUAUGUGAGUUGGUGCUAUAAAAAGAUUUAUGCCAAUGACUUGGCAAAAGCUGAAAUGAUGACUGCAAACUUGAGAGAUGUAUUAGAACAACUGUUUGGAGUUUAUGACUGACUUGUCUCACGUGUAGGACAAGGUCAAGCUUCUAGUUCCUUUCCACCAAUGGGAACUAAUCAAUCUUCAGUUGGUGUUGUUGCUUUUAAUGCUAUUGUUAAGUAUCACCCUUUCAAGGACGCAUUUUUGGAGGAGAUGGACAUAGGGGUAGUUGAUGAUAACAAAUCAGAGUUAGAGCAGUACCUUGAGGAGAAACGUGAACCCGUGAAGUGUGAGUUGAGUGUCUUGGAUUGGUGGAAAGCAAAUAAAGGGAAGUAUAAGGUUCUCUCGCAUAUGGCAAGUGAUGUCUUUGCUCAGUUGCUUCUAAGUCAGCUUUCAGUACAUCGGGUCGUGUACUUAAUCAAUUUCAGAGUUCUUUAUCUCCGAGUGUUGUACAAGCGUUAAUUUGUAUACAAGAUUGGUUAAGAUGUGCACCCACACCUACUCCUUCUAAAGAUUACUUGGUGGAUGCAGAGACUUGUGAUUUAGUACUGAACGCAAUUGAUGUAGAAACCAUUACCACCGCAAAUUUUGGGGAUGAAGCUUGAUGUAGCUAUCGUGUUGUUGUGCUUGUGUUAAUUUAAAAUGUUACGUAAUUUUAGUGUUGGAAGUUUGCAAAUUGAUAUGUUGUUAACUUAUUAUGUGACGUUAUUGUGUUAUGUAAUUUUAAUUUUGGGAGGAUUAAACUUGAUGGUUGAUAUGUUAUGAUGUUGUUGUAUUUGUGUUAUUUAAAGUUUUAAAGUGUUAUAUAAUUUUAAUUU